AAACUCGCGAGUUAACUCGUAAACUCGUACGAGUUUACGAGUUUAGGUAGUGGAAUCGAGUUGACUCAGACACAAACUCGUUUCUGGGUAGACUCGGCUAGACUCGGACAGAAUCGUUCAAACUCGCGAGUUUGCUAGCGAGUCAGCGAGUUUGAAUUCGGUGCCCAUUUUCGCCAAAACGGCGUCGCUUUGGGCCCGAAAAAAAAAAAACCUACAGCUAACCACUAACCCACCCAGACCCGGUAAGAGUGUAAGUGUGUAACCCUAAUUUCGAAACCCUCACACUCCACCAACACCAAGCCAUCAGCCCAUCACUGCUCACUGCCUCGCCCUCACUCUCUUCUUCUUCUCCAAUGUCGGUGAAUCACCACCAUCUAUCGGCACCGUCGUCUGCGCCGCCACGCAGAGGCCGAACGCCGGACGGAUCCUCAUCCCUUGCCUGUCGCCUCGCCUUAUCCCUCAUCUCUCAUCCAAUGCAGAGUCGCAGAGCUAGAGCCCACCAGCCACCACCACGCAGUGAAGGUUCCUCACUUCCUCGUCGACACCAGCCCACCACCACGCAGAGGCCACGCAGAGUCGCAGAGCCCACCACCACGCAGUGAAGGUUCACCGCCCCUGUUCUACCAUCGUCGGCCGUCGCACUCCUCCCUGUUCUGCUUCACUGCGUUUGCCUCACCUCCUCUGUUCAUUGCCAUUGUUCUUCACUGCCGAUCUGCUUCAAUUCUGCCCUGUUCUCCAAGGUUGCAAUGACACAUCCAAUGGCUGUAACUAACUGCAACAUCGACAUGAAAAGUUUAAUUUCUGACCAGAACAGAAGCAUUGCUACACUUGCUAUUACCACUCUUUUAAAGACAGGAAAUGAAUCAAGUGUAGAAGGUCUUAUGAAGCAGAUUACAAAUUUCAUGUCUGAUAUUGCUGAUGAAUUCAAAAUUGUUGUUGUAGAAGCAAUAAGAUCAUUGUGCUUAAAGUUCCCUUUAAAAAAAUUGUUUUCUUUUGUGUUUUGGUUGUGUCUUAUGAAGCUUUGAUUGUGUGAUUGUGUGUUUUAUGUUGAACUAGAUACAUACUUGUGAAGGAUUUAAAUGUGUGAUCUAGAGUACUUGUUGUAACUUGUAAUUGUAGUAUUAUGUUAAUUUAUAUGUUUUGAUG